UUUCAGAAACAUAUACCAAUUAAGGCUAAGGUAUAAGACCCUAUACCACAAACUUAAAUAUGUCCUUAAAUAUGUAUAUCAGGACGUUGAAGAAAAAAGAUGAUGGUAUUUGCCCAUUGUGCUCAAGACUUGUCACAGUUAAUGAACAUUAAACGUUCACGUCCACCUGAUCAUAAUUUAAGUUACAACGUUUUAAAUUAAGUUUAACAACUAUUUAAGAGUAGGACAUAUUUCUUAGUGUAAAGUUUGACAUAAUAAAAACUUUGUGGACAGUUCGGUAUGUGGAGCAGAACAGAUGCCAUUAAGUGUUGGUAAACUACAAAACAAGCUUCAUUGAUUUGUAAAAAUGUUUUUUUUUCUUACCAUACAACGAAAAUUUUAUCCUAUCUUGAGCAUAGCUGAUAUUUUCUUUGCUAUCUUGGAAAUGACUUCAUCGAAAAAUGAACCAUAAGGUGACCUGUCGGUAGCCUAUUGAAUUCAGCAUGAUUGUAAAGCUUACAUACGAAGACUCACUGGAUUCCGGGAAAAGAUCAAUUAUCGUUUUUGCGUCAAAUAAAGUUGGUGCAUCUUAUAGUUUAAUUUUUUACUCGUCCAAAAACAUUGGGUGCGAACGCCCCCAACGCAACCCCCCCCCCCCCCCCUGGCUACGGGUAUGGCCUCACUCUUGUUUUGAUUGUAUUGCUCUAUUUGUUUAAUGAGUCAUCUCGCAUUUGUAUGUUAUGAUAAUUAUGGAUAAGAAAGAAAAUUCCUAUUUCCUAAUUUGCCAGCUCUAUUUCUCAACAUUUUAAAGUGAAACCAUCAGUUAGGAAUUAUAUGAAUGGGUUUGGGGAAAAUAUAUAUAUACAUUUUGCAAUGGGGAGUAUAACCUAAUUCUAUAAAAUUAGCCCCAAAACGCUGUGCAGAGUCAUAGCUGACACCAUCAAAGGGUUUAACCUAAAAUGCAAAUGAGAGCGUCUGUAUAGUAUAAUCCUUAGACAUUCUAGCUGAGGGUAAAAUUGUAAUAAAGUAACUUUUAAUUAGUGGUUACUUAAACAAAGGGGGUAAUCACGUGAUAGUAAAGGUGGCGACGUUCAUGCUGAGACAGUUAGUUUUCGCCGUUUUGUACCCUUUAGUACUUUUUGUUUAUUUUUUAAAUGACACUCACUUUCAAGCCAUAUCAGUAAAAAUGUGAUAAGCGUUUAUUGCGUAUUUAAAUUCGCUUAAUAUCUCAACUUUACUCCCCGCAAAUUUUCUUAGUGGAGCCCUAAUUAGGUCAUCGCACUAAACAAUUUCGCAGCGAGUAAAGGCGAGAUAUAGAGCGAAUAUAACUGUGAACUAAACUCCAGUAACUUUCUUGCUAAUAUGGCUGGAAAGUGAGUUGAUUAAAAAAACAAUACAACUAAUUAAGGGUAAAAAACGGCGAGAAAUAUAUGUCUCAUGGACGUCGCUAUCUUGAUAAGCACGUGAUUACCCCCUCUGUAAAACCUGCAAUAUCAGUAACGAAACUAGACAAUAUUAAAGAGAAGAAGCUUAGGGUUUUGAAAUCACCUAAUAACUGUUCUUUUGUACUAUGUCUACCACAUUCAAACGUUUGUCAAAAAAUUGCGAUAAGUGCCAUACGCAAAAUCGCUUGCGCUUUAAAACAAUCAUAUGGAAAUCAAUUUACUUGUGGCUACUUUAUUGGUUGAGUGUUGUUUGUAUCCGUGUAGUUACACGUCAUAUGGAGCUAACAUUCAGCACAUUUUAUUAUAGCUUGUGCUGCUGUAAAACAGUGCUGUAAUGUUUGUUAUUGUUGCCAUAUAUUUUAUUAAUUGUGCUACUUUAAAUAUGUUGAAUAGUAAGAUGCUACCAGUGCAACAUGGCCGGUCACUUUGCCAGGGACUGUAAGAUGGAGGGAGGAAAGAUGUUACAACUGUAACCAGAUAGGACACAUUGCCAAAGACUGUUAUAAGGAGAGGGAUAAAUACUGUCCUGAAAACGAGGACACGCGUAGCUGCUACAACUGCGGUGGGCGUGGUCACAUCUCGCAGAACUGUCAUAACAAGCGGUGUUCAAGCAAUGCGCGCAACCAGCACUGCUACAGGUGCGGGCAGCCGGACCACAUUGCGCGUUACUGCCAGACAAGUCGACGUGACUUUGAAUGUUACAACUGCAGAAAAACGGGCCAAUUUGCACGUGACUGUCCAAAGAUUCAGAGGGACAUGUCUGAGGUAGAGUGUUACAACUGCAAAUAGCUCGGUCACUUAGCACGUGACUGUCCUGAGAAUGAGGAGGACACGUCAGACGAAGCGUAUUACAACAGUAACAAGCUCGUUCAGUAUGCCGAUUGUCGUUACGAUAGGCAGGAAGAAAUGUCCAGAGUAGAGUGUUCUAAGUGUCACAAUUUCGGUCACUUUGACCACGACUGCACUGAGGAUAAUAGGAGUGUCCCAAUUUCGGUUACUUUGACCACGAGUGUCACAAUUUCGGUUAAUUGACCACGACGGCACUUGGGAUGAUGAGGAGUGUCACAAUUUCUUUGACAACGACUGAACUGAGGAUGAUGAGGAGGAAGUUUGCUCGCUGUAUACAUGGAAUCUUCUUUAUUUAAAGAAAAUGUGCAUUUGAUGUGCAAUAAUAAUUAGUUUUAACUGUCACGUUACAGAAAACCCUAAAGUCUAACUUCAAUAUAAAGAAGGCCUUAAAUAAAUCCACUAUUUACAAGCACCAUAUUACAAUUGCCAUCUUACUUUAAUACCUUCAUUGUUAUUGUCUGCGCCAUGUACGUUAAUAAAAAAUAAACUCUUAUUUAUAAGUAAUAUCCUUAUUUCUGCAUUCUUAUAAUACAUAAAACUUUGUACAAUUCCUUCAAUAGUGGUUGUCAUGACGUCUUUUUUACUUAGUUCUUUUGAGAUUCCGAUUUCGAAAAUCAAUGUCAUCAUUUCAAUAAAUAACUGACCGUACCGUUCAUUUGUGGAUUGUUUUGUCUCUUGAUCGGCUGAUCGGCAUUGCGUGUUUUCAAUCCUGUUUAUGAUCCUGUGAUAAAUUGUAUAAUGUCAUUGUUAAGUUUCUUCUAUGUAUGGCAUUACUCCUUAAAGACCUUUCUAUGUGAUACAUAUUUACCAAUUUUUGCAUUUUAAUAAAUACUCGCAUAUAAUUUUACACUUCGUAUCCGCAUCGUGAUCGUGUAUCAAAAUAUUGUGUCAAAUAUCAAUUCAAGCAUAGUGUAUCAAACAAAACUAUUCCCGCAUAAUUGCACUUAAUGUAUUCUUCACUGAACAUUUGACAAAGACAUAAACAAAGUGUGUUCUUCUAGACGAGAAGUCAAUGCAGUAAUUACAAAACAGAAUAUUUCUUAUCGUUUAAAACUAAAUUUAUGAGCUGCAUCAAUCAUGUUUAUGCCGCCGUAUCGAUAGAUUAGGGGUAUAUUGUUUUGGCCUGUCUUUCUUUCUUUCAUUCUGUCUGUCAUUAUGUCCCAAAACUUUACUGUACAGUAAAGUUUUGCAAUAACUUUUGAAAUAUUGAACAUAGCAACUUGAUAUUUGGCAUGCAUGUGUAUCUCAUGGUCCUGCACAUUUUGAGUGGUGAAAGGUCAAGGUCAAGGUCACCCUUCAAGGUCAAAGGUCAAAAAAUUAUGUCCCAAAACUUUACUGUACAGUAAAGUUUUGCAAUAACUUUUUAAAUAUUGAACAUAGCAAUUUCAUAUUUAGCGUGCAUGUGUAUCUCAUGGAGCUGCACAUUUUGAAUGGUGAAAGUUGAAGGUCAUCCUUCAAGGUCAAAGGUCAAAAAAGCGGCGCAUUAGGGGGCAUUGUGUUUCUGACAAACACAUCUUUUGUUUUUUCUAUUAUUUCUGCUGGGCUAAGUGUUAGGAAUGGAUCCAUUUCAUGACUAAAAAACCUUCAAUACGUUGAAUUAACCGUUCUAAGACUGUGACCUCAGCUUUAUGCAUGAUUUUGUGUUAAAUAUCGUAUAACAUAUUUAAUACUGUAUUUUUAAGGCACUUUGUCG